rnacentral:lncRNA from 1 species
ACCACAACCACACAGCAACACCAGGUCCAAGCAGCAUCUGCUACCUACACGAGUGCUCACUGGCAACGCUGGAUCCUUAACCUGCCUACCGAGCAAGGCAAGAGAUGGAACCCGCAUCCUCAUGGAUGCUAGUCAGGUUCCUAACCUGCUGUGCUACAAUGGGAACUCUGAGAAGUAUUCAAUUUUUAGACACAGAGUUACUGGAAAGAAUGGAAGUUAAAAAUAAAGCGGCUGGGAUCCAUAGAAGUUGAUGCUGCAGGAUAUUGAAUAUGGUUCCCUACAGUCAAUAUUGAAUAUAUUGGAUAUACAGUAUAGAAGCAUUGAGUAUACAGUCUGCAUGAUGAAAAGUGUCGUAGAGAGUUCUUGAGUCUGAAGGCCAAUGAUAUCAGAUGGAAAGUGGGAUCUACAACAUGAAAGAACGGCGUUGGAAAUGAUAAAUAUAUGGGUAAGUGUAAAAUAUGUUUUAUUAUUUAAAAAUACCUUUGAGAACAUAGAUUCUUUAAUAUGAAAAGUAGAAAUAGUGUAUUAUGAAAUUUGUAACAUAUAUGCAGAGAUAAAAUACGAAUAUCACAUGGGAGAAGAAGGAGAAAUGAAAAUACAAUUGACUCUUGAACAACAUGAGUUUGAACUGUGAAGAUCCACUUCUAAGCAAAUUUUUUUUCAGUAGUAAAUGCAGCAGUGCUAUGUGAUCCAAGGCUGAUUGAAUCCAUGAUAGCAAAACAGUGGAUACAGAGGCACCACGGCCACACCUUUCAUAAAAUCAUAUAGUCCAUGAAUGUCAAAUCACAUUGAUCUAAAUUUAGUGUUCACCGUUUCCUCUCAUUUUGUUCAGGGCUGGUUUUAGAAGAUGCCACACCAAGAUUUAGAAGGGCUAACAGUGAUGGGAAAUAGCAAUAAGUGACUUUUGAGUCUCUCCAUCAGAGUGCCUGUCAAGAGCAAAGGAAUAGAGAUAGAUAUAGAAUAUAGAAUAAACAACCCAUUAUGGAAACAAACAUUGAAGGAGUUAUAUCUGUGUUUUUUCUUGCAUUUGCUGUAUGUGUGUGUGUGUGUGUGUGUGUGUGUGUGUGUGUGUGAAUAUUUACAUAUAUAUAUAUUUUCACAUACAUGAGGGGGCACAAUUCUUUUUUUUUCUGGUAUGAGGAGUAUUGGUGGUAGUUGACUUUCUAUUUAGCGGGGUUUUUUUUCGUCUUUUUGGGGCUUCAUCCACAGCAUAUGGAAGUUCCCAGUCUAGAGGUCGAAUUGGAGGUGCACCUGCUGGCCUAUGCCACAGCCACACCAAUGCCAGAUCCGAGCCACAUCUGCAACCUGUCCACAGCUUGUGAAAACACCAGAUCCUUAAACCUGCUGAGCAAGGCCAGGGAUUAAACCCAUAUCCUCAUAAAUAUUAGUCGAAUUCUUAACCCACUGAGCCACAACAGGAACUCUAUUUAGUUUCAAGGUUAUUGCAUUUCCAGUUGGAAUUGACCCAUGGCUAUGGAAGUUGGUGAGGCUUUAUCCUCCAGUUUUUGAAAAGAUGAGAGGAUCUUUGUAUUAAGAAGUUCAUCAUAUUAGGCAGAAUUAUGAUUCUGCUAUUGUUGGAAGUUAAGUGUGUCUAAAGGGUGAGAGCGGAUCUGGGUUGCCAAAGGGUUGCAACAAGCUGAUCAAUUGCCUUUUGCUUCCAAGUUUGUCAUGCUCAGGCCUGUACCACAAUGGGCUAGACUUCUGCAAGCAACACUUGCCAAAUUCCCUUGAUGGCCCUCCUUGUCUGUUUAACCAGUGGGAGGUAUUAGAUUGUAAAGCAGGAGUAUAAGUGGAGAAACGAGAUAGGUAGGGGGAAGGUCAUUGCUCUGCUUCUGCUUCUGAUGUUAUCUCUGGUAGAAAUGUGAAUGUGGGGUUCAUGGAUACAAACUAUUGCAUUUGGAGUGGAUAAACAAUGAGAUCCUGCUGCAUGGCACAGGGAACUAUACCUAGUCACUUAUGAUGGUACAUGAUGGAGGAUAAUGUGAGAAAAAGAAUAUAUGUGUGUGUGUGUGUGUGUGUGUGUGUGUGUGUAGGUCUCUUUGCUGUACAGCAGAAAUUGACAGAACGCUGUAAACCAACUAUAAUGGAAAAAAAAA